AGAGCCUGAAAGAGAAGGGGAGCGUCCAGCCGCCAUCUUGGGCUCUGUCUUGUCAUCCCUUGAACAAGUCUGUCUUCUCUCUCUUUUUUUUUUUGAGACAGAGUCUCGCUCUUUCGCCCAGGCCGGACUGCAGUGGCACUAUCUCGGCUCACUGCAAGCUCCGCCUCCCGGGUUCACGCCACUCUCUUGCCUCAGCCUCCCUAGUAGCUGGGACUACAGGCGCCCGCUACCGCGUCUGGCUAAUUUUUUGUAUUUUUAGUAGAGACGGGGUUUCACCCCGUUAACCAGAGAGAAUGGGCAAGGGGUCAUCGAUGGACCGGAGAUGGGAUGGUAGGGACAGAAACUGCAGGGUCCGCAGAAGGAACUGCUCACCGAAAGCCAACAAGCUUGCCCUGUGGAAUCCCAGAAAGGCCCAGGAACUUCGGGACAUCACUGAAGGCAGAGUGAAGAGAGGAAGAGAAGACAGAGAAAUGGAGGGGAGAAAACUAUUAAAAUAAGUAAUAAGAAAACUUUCCCCAGAAGUGCAGAAUCUGAAUUUCCAGUAUAAAAGGGUCCAUUGAGCGCCAAGAACAAUGAAGGAAAAAAGGUCCCACUCAGGCCUACGUAUCAUUGUGAAAUUUCAGAACUAGAGGGAUAAAGAAAAGAUCCUAAAAGCUUCCCGAGAGAUAAAAAAGAAGAUUUUUACAAAGGAUCAGCAAUCAGAAUUGCCUCAGACUGCUCAAUAAAAACAUCAGAAGCUAGAAGAAAAUAGAAUGAGGCAUCAAAAUCCUGAGGGAAAUGAUUCCCACCUAUAAUUUCAUAUUCUGCUCAAUUAUCAAUUGAGUAUUGAAGGGAAAUAAAGACAUUUUUAGACA
rnacentral:lncRNA from 10 species